UUGUGAGGUUAAGCGACUAAGCGUACACGGUGGAUGCCCUGGCAGUCAGAGGCGAUGAAGGACGUGCUAAUCUGCGAUAAGCGUCGGUGAGGUGAUAUGAACCGUUAUAACCGGCGAUUUCCGAAUGGGGAAACCCAGUGUGUUUCGACACACUAUCAUUAACUGAAUCCAUAGGUUAAUGAGGCGAACCGGGGGAACUGAAACAUCUAAGUACCCCGAGGAAAAGAAAUCAACCGAGAUUCCCCCAGUAGCGGCGAGCGAACGGGGAGGAGCCCAGAGCCUGAAUCAGUGUGUGUGUUAGUGGAAGCGUCUGGAAAGGCGCGCGAUACAGGGUGACAGCCCCGUACACAAAAAUGCACAUAUUGUGAGCUCGAUGAGUAGGGCGGGACACGUGGUAUCCUGUCUGAAUAUGGGGGGACCAUCCUCCAAGGCUAAAUACUCCUGACUGACCGAUAGUGAACCAGUACCGUGAGGGAAAGGCGAAAAGAACCCCGGCGAGGGGAGUGAAAAAGAACCUGAAACCGUGUACGUACAAGCAGUGGGAGCCUCUUUAUGGGGUGACUGCGUACCUUUUGUAUAAUGGGUCAGCGACUUAUAUUCUGUAGCAAGGUUAACCGAAUAGGGGAGCCGAAGGGAAACCGAGUCUUAACUGGGCGUUAAGUUGCAGGGUAUAGACCCGAAACCCGGUGAUCUAGCCAUGGGCAGGUUGAAGGUUGGGUAACACUAACUGGAGGACCGAACCGACUAAUGUUGAAAAAUUAGCGGAUGACUUGUGGCUGGGGGUGAAAGGCCAAUCAAACCGGGAGAUAGCUGGUUCUCCCCGAAAGCUAUUUAGGUAGCGCCUCGUGAAUUCAUCUCCGGGGGUAGAGCACUGUUUCGGCAAGGGGGUCAUCCCGACUUACCAACCCGAUGCAAACUGCGAAUACCGGAGAAUGUUAUCACGGGAGACACACGGCGGGUGCUAACGUCCGUCGUGAAGAGGGAAACAACCCAGACCGCCAGCUAAGGUCCCAAAGUCAUGGUUAAGUGGGAAACGAUGUGGGAAGGCCCAGACAGCCAGGAUGUUGGCUUAGAAGCAGCCAUCAUUUAAAGAAAGCGUAAUAGCUCACUGGUCGAGUCGGCCUGCGCGGAAGAUGUAACGGGGCUAAACCAUGCACCGAAGCUGCGGCAGCGACACUAUGUGUUGUUGGGUAGGGGAGCGUUCUGUAAGCCUGUGAAGGUGGCCUGUGAGGGUUGCUGGAGGUAUCAGAAGUGCGAAUGCUGACAUAAGUAACGAUAAAGCGGGUGAAAAGCCCGCUCGCCGGAAGACCAAGGGUUCCUGUCCAACGUUAAUCGGGGCAGGGUGAGUCGACCCCUAAGGCGAGGCCGAAAGGCGUAGUCGAUGGGAAACAGGUUAAUAUUCCUGUACUUGGUGUUACUGCGAAGGGGGGACGGAGAAGGCUAUGUUGGCCGGGCGACGGUUGUCCCGGUUUAAGCGUGUAGGCUGGUUUUCCAGGCAAAUCCGGAAAACCAAGGCUGAGGCGUGAUGACGAGGCACUACGGUGCUGAAGCGACAAAUGCCCUGCUUCCAGGAAAAGCCUCUAAGCAUCAGGUAACAUCAAAUCGUACCCCAAACCGACACAGGUGGUCAGGUAGAGAAUACCAAGGCGCUUGAGAGAACUCGGGUGAAGGAACUAGGCAAAAUGGUGCCGUAACUUCGGGAGAAGGCACGCUGAUAUGUAGGUGAAGCGACUUGCUCGUGGAGCUGAAAUCAGUCGAAGAUACCAGCUGGCUGCAACUGUUUAUUAAAAACACAGCACUGUGCAAACACGAAAGUGGACGUAUACGGUGUGACGCCUGCCCGGUGCCGGAAGGUUAAUUGAUGGGGUUAGCGGUAACGCGAAGCUCUUGAUCGAAGCCCCGGUAAACGGCGGCCGUAACUAUAACGGUCCUAAGGUAGCGAAAUUCCUUGUCGGGUAAGUUCCGACCUGCACGAAUGGCGUAAUGAUGGCCAGGCUGUCUCCACCCGAGACUCAGUGAAAUUGAACUCGCUGUGAAGAUGCAGUGUACCCGCGGCAAGACGGAAAGACCCCGUGAACCUUUACUAUAGCUUGACACUGAACAUUGAGCCUUGAUGUGUAGGAUAGGUGGGAGGCUUUGAAGUGUGGACGCCAGUCUGCAUGGAGCCGACCUUGAAAUACCACCCUUUAAUGUUUGAUGUUCUAACGUUGGCCCGUAAUCCGGGUUGCGGACAGUGUCUGGUGGGUAGUUUGACUGGGGCGGUCUCCUCCUAAAGAGUAACGGAGGAGCACGAAGGUUGGCUAAUCCUGGUCGGACAUCAGGAGGUUAGUGCAAUGGCAUAAGCCAGCUUGACUGCGAGCGUGACGGCGCGAGCAGGUGCGAAAGCAGGUCAUAGUGAUCCGGUGGUUCUGAAUGGAAGGGCCAUCGCUCAACGGAUAAAAGGUACUCCGGGGAUAACAGGCUGAUACCGCCCAAGAGUUCAUAUCGACGGCGGUGUUUGGCACCUCGAUGUCGGCUCAUCACAUCCUGGGGCUGAAGUAGGUCCCAAGGGUAUGGCUGUUCGCCAUUUAAAGUGGUACGCGAGCUGGGUUUAGAACGUCGUGAGACAGUUCGGUCCCUAUCUGCCGUGGGCGCUGGAGAACUGAGGGGGGCUGCUCCUAGUACGAGAGGACCGGAGUGGACGCAUCACUGGUGUUCGGGUUGUCAUGCCAAUGGCACUGCCCGGUAGCUAAAUGCGGAAGAGAUAAGUGCUGAAAGCAUCUAAGCACGAAACUUGCCCCGAGAUGAGUUCUCCCUGAGACUUAGAGUCUCCUGAAGGAACGUUGAAGACGACGACGUUGAUAGGCCGGGUGUGUAAGCGCAGCGAUGCGUUGAGCUAACCGGUACUAAUGAACCGUGAGGCUUAACCUUACAAC
rnacentral:rRNA from 1 species